rnacentral:RNase_P_RNA from 2 species
GAGAGGGAGAGUGCGGCCGACGGUGGCAGCAAUGCCGCUGAGGAAAGUCCCCCCACCUACCGGCCACGCAGCCGCACGCAAGUGCGGGUGGCGAGAGUCACGGCUCUGGCACAGAAACGACACGGCCCUUCCCGAGCGAUGAUGCGGACGACCGCUGAGCGGCGACGGAAGGGAUUCGUUGGAACGGUGAACCCCUGCGGGUGCAAGCCAGAACAGGGCAUAGGGACAGGUCGGUGUCCGCCCGGGUAUGGCGCUUAGCUGAAUGCCGCAAUGAACAAAAGGGGGCUUACUCCUCCCACUC